AUUGAACGCUGGCGGCAUGCUUUACACAUGCAAGUCGGACGAGUGGCGAACGGGUGAGUAACGCAUCGGAACGUACCGAGUAAUGGGGGAUAACUGUCAGAACGGACAGCUAAUACCGCAUAGUAUUCGAGCGGCAGAUGUCUGAUUAGCUGGUUGGCGGGGUAAAGGCCCACCAAGGCGACACUAAGUAGCGGGUCUGAGAGGAUGAUCCGCCAAACUGGGACGGUGCCACGGCCCAGACUCCUGCGGGAGGCAGCAUGGGGGAAUUUUGGACAAUGGGCGGAAGCCUGAUCCAGCCAUGCCGGGUGUCUGAAGAAGGCCUGCGGGUUGUAAAGGACUUUUGUCAGGGAAGCGGUACCUGAAGAAUAAGCACCGGCUAACUACGUGCCAGCAGCCGCGGUAAUAC
rnacentral:rRNA from 1 species